UACGUAGGGGGCAAGCGUUGUCCGGAAUCAUUGGGCGUAAAGAGCGCGUAGGCGGCCAGAUAAGUCCGGUGUGAAAGUCACAGGCUCAACCUGUGAAUGCCGCAGGAAACUGUCUGGCUUGAGUCCGGAAGGGGCGAGUGGAAUUCCUGGUGUAGCGGUGAAAUGCGCAGAUAUCAGGAAGAACACCAAUGGCGAAAGCAGCUCUCUGGGACGGUACUGACGCUGAGACGCGAAAGCGUGGGGAGCGAACAGG
rnacentral:rRNA from 1 species